rnacentral:rRNA from 1 species
UACGGAGGAUGCAAGCGUUAUCCGGAUUUAUUGGGUUUAAAGGGUGCGCAGGUUGUUUGAUAAGUCAGUGGUGAAAGUCUGUCGCUUAACGGUAGGAUUGCCAUUGAUACUGUUGGACUUGAAUAUGGAUGAGGUAGGCGGAAUGUGUAGUGUAGCGGUGAAAUGCGUAGAUAUUACACAGAACACCGAUUGCGAAGGCAGCUUACUAAUCCAUCAUUGACGCUGAGGCACGAAAGCGUGGGGAUCAAACAGGA